AACGAACGCUGGCGGCGUGCUUAACACAUGCAAGUCGAGCGCGAAAGGGGGUUCGCCCCCGAGUAGAGCGGCAGACGGGUGAGCAACACGUGGGUAACCUACCCCAGAGCGGGGAAUAACAGUUCGAAAGGACUGCUAAUACCGCAUAAGACCACGUCCUUUAGGGGAUGAGGUAAAAGGCUUCGGCCACUUUGGGAGGGGCCCGCGUCCGAUUAGCUAGUUGGUGAGGUAAUGGCUCACCAAGGCGACGAUCGGUAGCUGGUCUGAGAGGAUGAUCAGCCACACUGGUACUUAGACACGGACCAGACUCCUACGGGAGGCAGCAGUGGGGAAUAUUGCGCAAUGGGCGAAAGCCUGACGCAGCAACGCCGCGUGGGUGAAGAAGGCCUUCGGGUCGUAAAACCCUGUCAGAUGGGAAGAAACCUGCGCAAGCAGCUGACGGUACCAUCAGAGGAAGCACCGGCUAACUCCGUGCCAGCAGCCGCAGUAAGAC
rnacentral:rRNA from 1 species